rnacentral:tRNA from 3 species
GGGGCCAUAGCUCAGCUGGGAGAGCGCCUGCAUGGCAUGCAGGAGGUCGACGGUUCGAUCCCGUCUGGCUCCACCA